rnacentral:rRNA from 1 species
GCUCCACUCCUGGUGGUGCCCUUCCGUCAAUUCCUUUAAGUUUCAGCUUUGCAACCAUACUUCCCCCGGAACCCAAAAGCUUUGGUUUCCCGGAAGCUGCCCGCCGAGUCAUCGGAGGAACGUCGGCGGAUCGCUAGCUGGCAUCGUUUAUGGUCAGAACUAGGGCGGUAUCUGAUCGCCUUCGAACCUCUGACUUUCGUUCUUGAUUAAUGAAAACAUUUUUGGCAAAUGCUUUCGCUUCUGUCCGUCUUGCGACGAUCCAAGAAUUUCACCUCUAACGUCGCAAUACGAAUGCCCCCAUCUGUCCCUAUUAAUCAUUACCUCGGGGUUCCGAAAACCAACAAAAUAGAACCGAGGUCCUGUUCCAUUAUUCCAUGCACACAGUAUUCAGGCGAAAUUUUAGCCUGCUUUGAGCACUCUAAUUUGUUCAAAGUAAACGUGCCGGCCCGCCUCGACACUCAAUUAAGAGCACCGCGACAGGAUUAUUGAGUCGGACGGUAAAGCGCCUGCAACCCCACCACAUCAUACAGUAACAACCGAAGUUGCACACGCACAAUGGGGAAGCAUACAGGGUCUACGCGUCCACCGGCAGGACGUUCCGCGGACGUGCCAGUUAAACACCGCGGGCGGUGAACCGACAGCGCGGAACACAAAUUCAACUACGAGCUUUUUAACCGCAACAACUUUAAUAUACGCUAUUGGAGCUGGAAUUACCGCGGCUGCUGGCACCAGACUUGCCC